rnacentral:misc_RNA from 1 species
GAUGAAGAUCGUAGCGAAAUGCGAUAAGUAGUGUGAAUUGCAGAAUUCAGUGAAUCAUCGAAUCUUUGAACGCACAUUGCGCCCCUUGGUAUCCCGAGGGGCAUGCCUGUUCGAGCGUCAUUUCACCACUCAAGCCUGGCUUGGUGUUGGGCGACGUCCCCUUUGGGGACGCGCCUCGAAACGCUCGGCGGCGUGGCACCGGCUUUAAGCGUAGCAGAAUCUUUCGCUUUGGAAGUCGGGGCCCCGUCUGCCGGAAGACCUACUCGCAAGGUUGACCUCGGAUCAGGCAGGGAUACCCGCUGAACUUAAGCAUAUCAAUAAGCGGAGA